CUGAUGCAGCAACGCCGCGUGAGGGACGACGGCCUUCGGGUUGUAAACCUCUUUUAGCAGGGAAGAAGCGAAAGUGACGGUACCUGCAGAAAAAGCGCCGGCUAACUACGUGCCAGCAGCCGCGGUAAUACGUAGGGCGCAAGCGUUAUCCGGAAUUAUUGGGCGUAAAGAGCUCGUAGGCGGUUUGUCGCGUCUGCUGUGAAAUCCGGAGGCUCAACCUCCGGCCUGCAGUGGGUACGGGCAGACUAGAGUGCGGUAGGGGAGAUUGGAAUUCCUGGUGUAGCGGUGGAAUGCGCAGAUAUCAGGAGGAACACCGAUGGCGAAGGCAGAUCUCUGGGCCGUAACUGACGCUGAGGAGCGAAAGGGUGGGGAGCAAACAGGCUUAGAUACCCUGGUAGUCCACCCCGUAAACGUUGGGAACUAGUUGUGGGGUCCAUUCCACGGAUUCCGUGACGCAGCUAACGCAUUAAGUUCCC
rnacentral:rRNA from 1 species